rnacentral:rRNA from 1 species
GAUCCUGGCUCAGAAUCAACGCUGGCGGCGCGCUUAACACAUGCAAGUCGAACGAGAAAGGGGAGCAAUCCCCGAGUAAAGUGGCGCACGGGUGAGUAACACGUGGGUAAUCUGCCUCUUGGUGGGGAAUAACUCUGGGAAACCGGAGCUAAUACCGCAUAAGCCUGGAAGGGGAAAGGCGAAAGUCGCCGAGAGAGGAGCCCGCGGUCGAUUAGCUAGUUGGUGGGGUAAAGGCUCACCAAGGCAGUGAUCGAUAGCCGGCCUGAGAGGGCACACGGCCACACUGGCACUGAAACACGGGCCAGACUCCUACGGGAGGCAGCAGUGGGGAAUCUUGCACAAUGGGGGGAACCCUGAUGCAGCGACGCCGCGUGAGCGAUGAAGCCCUUCGGGGUGUAAAGCUCUUUCGGCAGGGACGAUAAUGACGGUACCUGAAGAAGAAGCUGCGGCUAACUACGUGCCAGCAGCCGCGGUAAUACGUAGGCAGCGAGCGUUGUUCGGAGUUACUGGGCGUAAAGAGUGCGUAGGCGGUGGCCCAAGUCUGGUGUGAAAUCUCCCGGCUUAACCGGGAGGGUGCGCCGGAAACUGGGUUGCUGGAGUACUGGAGAGGCAGGCGGAAUUCCUGGUGUAGCGGUGAAAUGCGUAGAUAUCAGGAGGAACACCCGUGGUGUAGACGGCCUGCUGGACAGU